rnacentral:rRNA from 1 species
AUCUAUGGACAUACUAGCCUGAACAUACCCAGUCUCAUCUGAUCUCAGAAGCUAAGCAGGAUCCAGCUUGGUAAGCACUUGGGUGGGAGACUUACCAGGCAUACCAGGUACUACAGGCU